CGAUGCUGGAAAUGGGGGAAGGGCCUGGCCUUGGGUUGCUGUCUGGGCCCUGUGGGUCUGUCAGUGAGAAGCACGGUCUCCAGGGAGAGGCAGCUGUGUGGGCUGGCUGCAGGACAAGACACAGAAGAAGAGAAGAAGAGAGAAGAGCUCCAGGAAGGGCGACAGUGCUCAAGGAAUCCAAAGGACCCAGGAUGUCCACCCAUGUCCACCUGAGGCCUUUAUUCUGCAGGAGUGGCCAGUGUCAGCCCCUCAAAUGCUCGCCAUCCUAAGAUGCUGGGGUUCUGCUUCUCUGCUUGAAGCCUGGCUGAUACAGGUGACCUCUGCAGCACGUUCACACAGUGGAUGUUUGAACGUGUCUUGUGUCUGGAGCUUACCACCUCUUGAAGCAGCACCGUCCAUCUUUGGCCAGCUCCAAUUGUACCAACCUCUGCUUUAUAUGGCCUGAACCAAGUCUUUCUGUGGACCCUGCCCAUGGGGGUUGGCUAAACCUUGUGGGCACACCACGUCCCUAUGAAUUUUUCCAUCUUUAAAUAUUCUUUUUCUUAAAACCACAGUCCACACCUCAUGGUUAAUCCCAGAAGCUAGGCUGUCAGGUUCUUUAGAUCCUUGCUACUCAAAAUACGUGCCCUGUCAAUGGCAUGAGAAAGGUAAGCUCACGUUUCCUUCAGUCUCCAGUUGGUGACAUAGCCAUUGUUGUCACUUUGUCACCUCUUUUAUAAAAUGGGGGUUUAAUUUUCUUUUUUUUAAAUGCCAGCAAAUAUGUGCAUUGAGCUAGGGGAGAGGAGGGCAGAGGCCUGCCCACCUGCCCCAUUUUUAAAAUUCCUGCCCCUAAAGUCGACCCUUCUCUUUGGGCCUGUGACUUUUGCUCAUAACCACCCUGAAUGUGACACGUUCCAUCCUGUGCUGCUCUCCCAUUUUAAGGUGCCAUUUGGAGGGGAGAGGACCUGCUUCCUGCUGUGACCGGGCUCUGGAGUUCUGACUACUUUACUUCAUGAUUUGAUAAAUGUGUGGUAUUAAAAAGCUUGAAAUGUAGGAUGGUAAUAUGUGGCUGUUUCUGUUUUGGAAUACUUGCCUCACUUACAAUUAAUUAAUAAAGGUGUGUUUUAAAA